rnacentral:rRNA from 1 species
GAUGAACGCUGGCGGCGUGCUUAACACAUGCAAGUCGAACGAAGCACUUUAAAACAAUCUUUCGGGUGCGUUUUAUUGUGACUUAGUGGCGGACGGGUGAGUAACGCGUGGGUAACCUGCCUCAUGCAGGGGGAUAACAGUUAGAAAUGACUGCUAAUACCGCAUAAGCGCACAGUACCGCAUGGUACAGUGUGAAAAGAUUUAUCAGCAUGAGAUGGACCCGCGUCUGAUUAGCUAGUUGGUGAGGUAAUGGCUCACCAAGGCGACGAUCAGUAGCCGACUUGAGAGGGGGAUCGGCCACAUUGGGACUGAGACACGGCCCAAACUCCUACGGGAGGCAGCAGUGGGGAAUAUUGCACAAUGGGGGAAACCCUGAUGCAGCGACGCCGCGUGAGCGAUGAAGUAUUUCGGUAUGUAAAGCUCUAUCAGCAAGGAAGAUAAUGACGGUACUUGACUAAGAAGCCCCGGCUAACUACGUGCCAGCCGCCGCUGUAACAC